rfam:Otolemur garnettii contig016662, whole genome shotgun sequence.
GCUGGGCGUUGUGGCGGGCGCCUGUGAUCCCAGCUACUUGGGAGGCGGAGGCAAGAGACUUGCUCGAGCCCAGGAGUUGGAGGUUGCUGUGAGCUGUAAUGCCACGGCACUCUGCCCAGGGGGACAGCUUGAGGCUCUGUCUCAAAAAAAAAGAAGUUCAUGUAGGAUUCUUUUUCUUUUUUUUUUUUUUUUUUGAUACAGAGUCUUAAGCUGUCACCCUUGGUAGAGUGCCGUGGUGUCACAGCUCAUAGCAACCUUAAACUCUUGGGCUUAAGCAAUUCUCUUGCCUCAG